UGGGAAAGCACAGCGUCCCUGACCCCAGGUCCUCGGGUGGACUCGGGAACAAGGACGGGCUGAAUUCAGCUACCGCCUCAUUUAAUGUGGAGCCGUCAUUCAGGACGUGUGUCUCCAUCGGAGACAAAGCCAGCCUUCCUGUGCGUGGCAUAGCGGGAGCCCCAGUCUACAUAACUGACUCCAGCAAUUUCCUCUCCUAACCACACCUGCCACUCUCCUCCCUACCCUGAAAGUAAUAGGACUCAGCUUCCACAGCCACCACGCCGUUCACACCACCUUUAUGUCAAGAGGGUCACAGCAUCCCAGGGAGGUCAGCAGGGAAGGUCCCAGCAUCCCCAUCACACAGAGGAGGAAGCUGAGGCCAGGAGGGCGUCUGGCCGGUUCAAGAUUACAAAAUCUUCCCAGGGCAAGAACCUGCAUCUU
rnacentral:lncRNA from 10 species